rnacentral:SRP_RNA from 1 species
GCUGGGCAUGGUGGCGCGUGCCUGUAAUCCUAGCUACUCAGGAGGCUGAGGCAGGAGAAUUGCCUGAACCCAGGAGGCGGAGGUUGCGGUGAGCCGAGAUCGCGCCAUUGCACUCCAGCCUGGGUAACAGAGCAAAACUCUGUCUCAA